rnacentral:misc_RNA from 1 species
GAUGAAGAACGCAGCGAAAUGCGAUAAGUAAUGUGAAUUGCAGAAUUCAGUGAAUCAUCGAAUCUUUGAACGCACAUUGCGCCCGCCAGUAUUCUGGCGGGCAUGCCUGUCCGAGCGUCAUUUCAACCCUCGAACCCCUCCGGGGGGUCGGCGUUGGGGAUCGGCCCUGCCUCUUGGCGGUGGCCGUCUCCGAAAUACAGUGGCGGUCUCGCCGCAGCCUCUCCUGCGCAGUAGUUUGCACACUCGCAUCGGGAGCGCGGCGCGUCCACAACCGUUAAACACCCAACUUCUGAAAUGUUGACCUCGGAUCAGGUAGGAAUACCCGCUGAACUUAAGAAUAUCAAUAAGCGGAGGA